AAACAUGAACCUCAUGAAGACGUUCAGCAAGAUCAUCAUCCUCUUCUACAAGGCGGAUGUGCUGCACGAGGAGGUCAUCUUGCGCUGGUACCAGGACACGCAGGAGGGCAAGGCCAAGGGCAAGACGGUGUUCCUGGAGCAGAUGAAGGGCUUCAUCGACUGGCUCAAGAACGCCGAAGAGGAGGACUCAGAUGAAGAGGAGGACGACUAGAGGAGCGAGCGCCGCUCUCGCCGCCCUGUACAACCGCCCCGCCCCUCCCCCUCCCCUGCCCCCCCCUCCCUCCCCCUCCGCUC